rnacentral:lncRNA from 1 species
GCACAAUUAUAGAAAUCACGGUUUCAUUCUCUUUCCAAAACCUUAUCUCAAUCUCACAAAUCUUCAAUUGACGCUGCACUUUUCGAUUCUCUCUCGUCAAUUUGGUUAUCUCAAGAACCAACUCCCAGUUACUCUACACCAAAAGGUAUGUAGCUUAUAUUGAAAUGAUUGAUUAUCAUUCUCUACGGAUAUCUCAAGAACCAACUGUUUUCGCCAUGGAUGUUGUGUAUACUAUCAAGAAGCAAGGCCACACUCUCUAUUGUUCGUUGAUUAAAGUAUUAGGGUCUGGGUUUUUGUUAACUAAUACAUUUGGAUUUUAGACCAGUUUAUUUUGUAAACGUGUUAUGGUUGGAGCUCAACUUUAACCAAUAACUAGCUAAAAUCUGCUUAAGAUCAACGCACAAUUAAAUACAAUUAGCUAGGAAUCAAUAACUAACUCAACUUCAUACAAUAGCCAACUAAAUUUCAAUCCAAAUCAACACAAACAGUUUAAUAUGCUAAACUGGGAUUCAGUAACUUAGAUAUAAUUUUAUUGAUUGAACUGAAAUUACAUAAAACGACAUAGAUAAACACAAAACAAAGAAAGUGGGAGACAGAAUUAGAGAAAGAGAAGAGAAGAAGGAGAACUGAGAAGAAAGGGAGAUGAAGGAGCGGGAGAUGAAGAAGCAUGAGAAGAAUAAACUGGAGAGAAGCAGGAAUAAAUAGGGAAGAAGAGGAAGAAGCUGGCAAGAGAAGAAACUUACCAAAGAGGGAGAAACACAGAGAAGAAGCACAGCAACAGAAGUAGAAUGAGAUAGGAAUAGUGAAGAUAAUCGACAAAAGCCACGAUUCAAUUCAUUAAUCUACAACCCUCAUCGACUUCAAAGCCAACUAUAUGUAGAAGAAAACAACUUAAAUGUCUUGGGCUAGCCCAACUAGAUAAAUAAAAGUAAAUGGCCCAAUUGAGGGAGGUGAGCCAUGACAUCACUUCCCCUUAAAUUAACCUUGUCCUCAAGGUUCAACAUCAUGAUGUCUUCUUUGUAUGUUGUUGAAGCUGCCUCAUUCUCUUCACCAUCAUUGGAUUAAAAAUGAAAAUUUUUCAUAUGGAAACAACAGAAACACAUUUCAACCUCCAUUGGGAUUCAACAAUCAACACUCUAAGGGGAAGCCAUCUUUAGAAGACAUUCUUGGAGCUUUCAUCUUUGAGAUAAGAUCACGGUUCAACAAAGAUGAGUCGAGGUUGGAUAAUAUCAAAAUGCAUGUGUCCAACAUGGGAGCUACAACGAAAAAUCUUGAGGUUUAGAUCGGGCAAUUGGCUACAUCAGUGAAAUCCCAACAAAGGGAAAGUUUCCAAGUGACACAAAAAUAAAUUCGAACGAACAUGGUUAGGCCAUCACAUUAAGGAGUGGUAAGGAAGUUGGAGAAAAUAUGCCUAUAGAAGAAACUACUACCAUCCUUGACAAGGAGAAAGAACAGUCAAAUGCAACACAAGAAAAUCAGAUCAAAGAAGCACAGAAAGAUUACAAGCCUUAUUCUGUAUCCUUCCCUGAUAACCCACCAAUUAUCAAGUGCACACUUUCAUUUCCACAAAGAUUUUAGAAGAAGAAAUUGGAUGCUCAGUUUGCCAAAUUCUUGGAUAUUUUCAAUAAGAUUCAUAUUAACAUCCCAUUUGCUGAUGCUUUUAGAAAAAAUGCAAACUAUGUGAAGUUCAUGAAAGAGGUUAUGUCAAAGAAGAGAAAAUUGAAAAAAAUACAAAACGGUGAAGUUGACAGAAGAAUGCAGUGCAAUUCUUCAAAAGAAGCUCCCUCAGAAAAGAAAGGAUCCAAAUAGCUUCACCAUUCCCUUUACUGUUGGAGACUCUUCUUUUGAUAAAGCUCUUCGUGACCUUGGAGUCAGUCUAAAUCUGAUGCCACUCUCAGUAUUCAAGAAGUUGGGUCUCGGGAAAGAUAAGCCGACAAUGGUGACCUUGUAGUUAGCUGAUCGAUCCAUCACUUAUCCAUGAGGAAUUAUUGAAGAUGCGUUGGUGAAAGUCGACAUAUUUAUUUUCCCAGCAGAUUUUGUAGUGUUGGACAUGGAAGAAGAUUGGGAGAUUUCACUGGUCCUAGGCAGACAUUUCUUAGCAACAUGAAGAGCUUUGAUCGAUGUCCAAGGAGGUCAAUUGACCUCAAGAGUAAAUGAAGAAGAAGUGAGGUUCAAUAUCUAUGGCAAUGCAAUUUCCAGAUGAUACAAAUACAUGCCACAAAAUUGACUUCAUUGAUGCUGUAGUAAAAGAAGAAGAUGUACUCAUUGAAGACCACCUGGAGCAUUGUAUGACGAUGAGUGUAACACCUCAGGAGAGUAUAUGGGCAUCAAAGACCUAGUUGACUACAUAUUAGCUCUUAAAUAUUUGCCAAAUGGAGAUUUUCCAUCACAGAAUGAAGAUAUUCAACAGGCAAUGAAAUUGGAUGAGAAUAAAAACAAUGAAAUUACUAAGACUAAAUUGAAGUAGCUACCUGAUCACCUUCGGUAUGCAUUCUUGGAGGAAAAUUCUACAUAUCCAGUGAUAAUCUCUUUCUCACUCACCAGAGACGAAGAAGACAUAUUAUUAAAUGUGCUGAGAGAACACAAGGCAGCUUUAGAAUGGUCUAUAGUUGAUAUUAAAGGUAUAAGUUUGAUGAUCCGCAUGCACAAAAUUUUCAUGGAAGAAUCCUAUAAACCAUCAAUUGAGCACCAAAGAAGAUUAAAUCCAACAAUGAAAGAAGUGGUGCGAGCAGAGAUACUAAAGCUACUAAAUGCAGGAAUCAUAUUUGCUAUCUCAGACAGUGAAUGGGUCAGUCUAGUACAAGUGGUAUCGAAAAAAGGCGGGAUGACAGUAAUUAAGAAUGAAAACAAUGAGCUAAUCCCAACAAGGAUAGUAACUGGCUAGAUGGUGUGUAUUGAUUAUAGAAAGCUGAACAAGGCAACCAGAAAGGAUCACAUCCCACUUUCGUUCAUCGACCAAUUGUUGGACAGAUUAGCUGGCUACUCCCAUUACUAUUUUCUCGAUGGUUACUCGGUAUACAAUCAGAUUGCAAUCAUACCACAAGACCAAGACUUGCCCAUAUGGAACUUUUGUAUACAGACAGAUGCCUUUUGGGUUAUGCAAUACACCAGCAACAUUCUAGAGAUGCAUGAUGGCAAUCUUUACAGAUAUGAUAGAGGAUAUCAUAGAGGUAUUCAUGGAUGAUUUUUCUGUAUUUGGUGCUUCUUUUGAUAAUUUCCUUCACAAUCCGUCUCUAGUUUUGCAACGUUGUGAAGAAAAGAUUUUAGUUCUUAACUGGGAGAAGUGUUACUUCAUGGUACAAGAAAGCAUCGUUCUUGGCCAACAUGUGUCAGCAAUAGAACUUGUAGUGGACAGAGAAAAUAUCAACACAAUAGCAAAACUGUUACCAUCCAUCAAUGUCAAAGGCAUUCCAAGUUUUUUGGGGCACGCUGGAUUUUUCAGGAGGUUCAUUAAAGACUUUUCAAAGAUAGCUAAACCCUUGUGCAACCUUUUUGGGAAAGAAACCACAUUCAUGUUUGAUGAAAGUUGCCUGAAAGCGUUUGAAGCAAUAAAGGAGAAUUGGUCACAACUCCAGUAAUGGUAGCUCCAGGUUGGGGUCGACCAUUUGAAAUCAUGUGUGAUGCCAGUGAUCAGGCAGUUGAGGCAGUUCUAGGACAAAUGUAUGAAAAGACAGUGAUCAGGCAGUUGAGUAAUUCACUAUGCCAACAAAACUUUGAAUGAAGCUCAGCUGAAUUACACAACAAUAGAGAAGGAAAUGCUAGCAGUGGUUUUUGCUUGUGAUAAAUUCAGAUCCUAUCUCAUUGGUACUAAGGAUAUCAUCUACACAGAUCAUGCCGCCAUCCGCUAUCUCUUUGAAAAGAAAUAUACUAAGCCACGCCUGAUUCGAUGGAUCCUGCUGCUACAAGAAUUCGAUGUGGAGAUUCGGGAUAAGAAAGGUAGUAAGAAUGUUGUUGCUGAUCAUUUUUCACUGCUAGAGAAUGAAAAUGUGACAGAAGAUGGUGUAAUUCAAAAAACUUUUCCAAACGAGUUUCUUUUAGUAGGUUCAACACUGACUCUAUGGUAUGCUGACUUUGUCAACUAUUUGGCGUGUGGAAAAAUGCCACCUAAUUUUACCUUUCAUCAAAGGAAGAAUUUUGACAUGAUGUCAAGUCAUAUUUGUGGGAUGAUCCACUGCUCUUCAAGAGAUGUGCGACAGGAUAAUCAGAAUGUGUAUUCCUAUGGAAGAGACGUAGUCAAUUAUGAAGCAAUAUCAUUCCUCACCUUAUGGAGGUCAUUUUGGUCUUACCCAAACUGCAUCCAAUCGGGAUUCUAUUGGCCAACUCUCUUCAAAGAUUAUUAUGCCUUUGUGAAACAUGUGACCGCUGUCAGCGCAUCGGGAAUAUCUCGAGCUAUCACGAGCUGCCCAUGAUUAAUGUGCUUGAAGUGGAAUUAUUUGAUGUAUGGGGCAUAUACUUCAUGGAUCCCUUUCCACCAUCUUUAAGUCAAGCAUACAUUUUUCUUACAGUGGACUAUGUGUCCAAAAGGGUUGAAGCCAUUGCUACUCCAACAAACGAUGCAAAGGUAGCUUUGAGAUUUUUGCAGAAAAAUAUCUUCACUCGAUUUGGCACUCAUAUAACAAUCGUAAGUGAUGAAGGAACCCAUUUCUGUAAUAAACUUUUCAACUCUUUGUUAGCCAAAUACAAUGUCAGGCACAAAGUAUCACUUGGCUACCACCCCCAGAUAAAUGGGCAAGCAGAAAUUUCUAACCGAGAGAUUAAGCAGAUUUUGGAGAAAACAGUGAACACAAAUCGAAAAUAGAAAGUCUGGGGUGGACAACAUUUGGCCCUGCAACCUAGAGCUACCUCCAUUCCCCUAGUCAAGGAAUUUUACACCAAUGCAAAGGAACAUGAAACUUUAAGGUGUUUGUACGGGGUCAGUGGAUCCGCCUUGAUAAUGCCUCCUAAACAAAUUCUAAAACAUUCGAGCUAUACCCGAGUAUGAUUACUCCAGGUUGCAUGAGGAAGGAGUCGACCUUAAGACCUUACUUUGCACCUUGACUCAAGAAGGGAUUGAAUGGAAACUGAGUGCAAGUAAUGUGACAAAUUUUCCUACUUCGGGCUUGACAGACAAUUGCAAGGCUUGGCACCACUUCAUAAUUGCCAAACUCGUGCCUAGCAGCAACAUUAGUGAGGUGACCAAGGAUCGUGCUCUAUUGAACUAUGCCAUUCAGAAGGGUUACUCAUUUGAUGUCGGCACGGUCAUACAGAAUAGCAUCCUGAGCAUUUUGGCUGGCUCUGUUACCAGUAGUUUGGGAGAUUCAUCACUCAUACAUGAUCUAUGUAUCCAAAGAGGUGUCACCACGAGGGAGUCCAAUGAAGUUUUACACCCUAAGCCCCUUCUCACGCGGGAACUUUGAAAUAAUCUCGAAGGGCGUUGGGACAGGCCCAGUUCAUCUCAACCCUCUGGCCAGGCUCAACAUCUGCACCUACCUUCGCCUAAUGUUACUACGAGGAAUGUCCUUAGGUGACUAGAGGCCAUGGACCUAAGCUUAAUUUAUUGGUAGGAUGGCAUGCAAUCAUAGAUGGAUCACCUAGAGAAAUUAAUCUAUACCCAAUUUCAAUAUUAGAAUGCUUGUAUUGUAGUCAUGGCUUCUACCCAUCUUGAGCUGACUUUACCUUCACUACCACAAUUUCCAUCACAUUCUCACUCUCCAGCCCCACGAGACAGCGAUGGGGACAUUUAGCAUCCUCCUGAGGUAUCUUCCAUACUUUCUUUCAUUUUCAAAUUGAGGACAAUGUGUCAUCUAAAGUCGGGAGAGUUUUCUAAUUUUUAAUUGUUUUGUGUGUUGUCUCUUUAUUUCCAUGUUACACGUGUGCGAAAAAAAAAUCUUUUAUUUUUAUUUUUAUUUUGCAUGUUUGUGUGAGUUGGACAACAUUGUUGACAAUGAUGCAUAUGUUUGAGAAUGUAAAUCGGUGGUGGAUUAUAAAUAGGUUGUGUGCUUGAGUCAGAUUUUUACUUUCCCUUGCAAACAAUUGUGAUUUAACUGCACGAAAAUGGAGUGUAACGUUGGACAAGAGCAGGUCGAUUCAUAAUUGGAAUAGGUUAAACUAGUGACCCUCAUAGAUGAAUUCAAACAACCGCUAAACCUAAAUAAUGCACAUCCCCUAACAAACUUUAGGAUGGUUUAGAUGAUGGAAUUGUUGUAGGGAGACAUGGAUGUGAAUGUGAUUUCCGUGUUUGCUAUCUUCUGUGUGGAUUGUCUAGAUCAAUGUGAUGAAAUUGGGUGAAAACCUUAAGUUAAGGGUCAGUUUUUGAGAAUGGGUGUUUAAUAAGAGGCAUUGCACUAAUCAUUGCAAAAAAAUAAAAAAAUAAAAAAAAUAAUCCCAAGAGGGACAAAUUAAAUAAUAUUUGUGUGAAAUGUAUCAUCGUAGCCUUUAUGACUUGAGUGAUUAAGCCUGUACGGGUUUGAAACCUAUUGCCUAAAGUCACUUGGUUUGGGAUUCACCGGCCUAAAGUUUGCUAUAGGGGUCAUUUACAAAGCUUAAUGGAGAGACGUAUGCACUUGAGAUUCUAAAAAAAAUAAAAAAAUAAAAAAAAUAAAAAAAAUAAAAAAAAAAAGAAAAGAAAAACCACGUUGCAUGCCUUGAUUAAGCCCGGAACACUCGUUUUAGAAGAUUAAGCUUUUGACAAUGUGUGGUAACUUGGUUGAUUAUUGACGGUUGAUGUAAUAAAAAAUAGUAAAAACUUCAUCUACCAAUAGGUUGAAGUACAACAGGGGCAUCCAACUAAGCUAGAGAAGGUAAGGAAUAGAAAUUAACAAACAAACUACAAUUUUUAACUCAGGAAAAAGAGUGAAAAGAAAAUAAGUAUGGGGAUGUGUGAAAUCUCACGAGCGGUGAAAGAAAAUAGUGGACUUUUGCAGUCGGGAAUGAACAAAUCUAGAAAUGUACAACGUUGUACUCUUAUCACACACACAUGUUUGCAUUGGAACUAUAACUUUGAAAUUGAUCAUGAAUUCGAUAUCAUAUUUUCAACGCUGAGCUAUAAAAGAACAAUGUGUCCAAGUGGUUUCUGAAUUUCAUGUCUUGUGUGAUGGAGUGCACUUAUUGUGUUUUGGGUUAACCAUAUUGGUGUGUUAUUUUGUGUUUUCUCGAGGACAAGCAAAGAACUAAGUUUGGGGGUGUUUGAUGAGUCCAAUUCACUUAUCAAUUUAGCACCUUUAAAUCUUAGUUUUUGGGUUAUUGUUGAGCACUUUUGAACUUUUUGAUGUGGGUUUUCAUGUUGUUUUGCAGCUUAGACAACUUUUGGAAAAAUGCCACACUUUGGAGCUUAUAAUGUUGAUCAUAAAAUUGAAGCAUGAAUUGGAGAUAAGAAAAGAAAAAUUGAAGUGAAAACGCGAUGUUGAAGAUGAAAAAUCCAAAUUGAGGCAGUCUAUUAGGCAUCACGGCGCCGGAUGUGGGCCCCAUAGCGCCCAAGUAAUGAGGAUGAUGCCGCAGUGCCCAGCAUGAAAAAGCAACCAGCAGAGAGGCUGGCACUAUGCGCUAUAUCCUGGGCGUCGUGGCACCCAGCACACAUAAAUUAGCGGAGAGGCUGGCGCCGCGGUGCCAUACCUGGGGGCUACAGUGCCAACAGAAGAAAAUGUUGUGGAUCGUGGUGCCAAUAUUGGGCGCUGUGUUCCCCGACACCCAAAAAAGGAAAAUUGAAUUUUUCUUGGCCUAGAUCCAAUCCUUCUUGUCUUGUAACUUUUGGAAGGUAUAAAUACAACGAAGAAGUCCUAAUUGAUAACUCUUGGCGUUGAAAAGACAACUCAAGGCAAAAACAAGAGAAAAAAACACUUCAAGGAUGAAGAUCUACAAUCAGGGAGAAGAUUCGAAGCAUUAACUGAGUUUUUCCUAAUCUCUUAUUCUCCAUGCUCGUUUAUCUGUAUUUUAGAAUUUUAUUUUCAUCAAUUAUGAAAUAAAAUCUUAGAUCUAGGGUUGAUGUAACCUAACUUGAUACAAUGUUUGGAUGUUGAUAUGGUAUUUCUUUAAUUUUUCG